GGGAGUGAAAUAGAACCUGAAACCCUGCACUUACAAGCUGUGGAAGCACAUUUCUUGUGUGACCGCGUACUUUUUGUAGAACGGGCCAACGAGUUACGUUAAGUAGCAAGGUUAAGCACUUAAGGUGCGGAGCCGUAGCGAAAGCGAGUUUUAACUGAGCGUUCAGUUACUUGACGUAGACCCGAAACCGGGCGACCUACCCAUGAGCAGGAUGAAGCGAAAGUAAAAGUUCGUGGAGGUCCGAACCCACGAGCGUUGAAAAGCUCGGGGAUGACUUGUGGGUAGCGGUGAAAUUCCAAUCGAGCCCGGAGAUAGCUGGUUCUCCCCGAAAUAGCUUUAGGGCUAGCCUCAAGGUGAGAGAUACGGAGGUAGAGCACUGAAUGUCCUAGGGGGUAUUGCACCUACCGAAGACUAUCAAACUCCGAAUGCCGUCAUCUUAUACUUGGGAGUCAGACUGUGGGUGAUAAGAUUCAUAGUCGAAAGGGCAACAGCCCAGAUCGUCAGCUAAGGUCCCUAAAUGUAAGUUAAGUGGUAAAGGAUGUGGGAUUGCACAGACAACCAGGAUGUUGGCUUAGAAGCAGCCACUCAUUCAAAGAGUGCGUAAUAGCUCACUGGUCGAGUGAUCCUGCGCCGAAGAUUUCCGGGGCUAAAACUUACUACCGAAGCUACGGCAUCAGUAAUGAUGGGUAGGGGAGCUUCCCAUACGGGUUGAAGCAUGACCGUAAGGACAUGUGGACAGUAUGGGAGUGAGAAUGUUGGCAUGAGUAGCGAGAUGUGGGUG
rnacentral:rRNA from 1 species